GGAUCAGCCUUGUUCAGAGUUGUGCAAUGUGUGGGCGCGGGUUAAGUUUCCUAUAGUGACCGUUGGAGUGUGAGAGGCAAGGAGAAUAUACCAAAGGGAUAAGAGUGAGCUGUAUGUGCAAGCUGGAAAGGUAAAGGUGCUUUACCUUUACAGCAAGACCAAUCUCUUCCCUUCAUUCAAAUGAAGCAAUCUGAGCUCUCCAUUCAGUCAAAAGUCGCCAGCUAUCACCAGAACAUCAAAGACCACUCUUCUCUCAUCCUAGCCAUUCAAUCUAUCUUUUAGUUACAGCCUUAGGAUCUAGGUUUGUGAUCUGAGUUGUGUAAAGGCAUAUAUAAGCCUCUUAUGAUCAUUUUGUAAUCUUUAAGUGAGUAAGGGGGUUUCCCUUCUCCUUCUCUAAUCUAAAACACUUUCUUAGUCUCUCUAGUCUCUCAUCCUGAAUCUCUAUACACGUUCUCAGUCUUGUUACUAAUCUCUUAAACACUUAGAUACACAAACACUCAUUAAACUUCCUUUCUCUCAAAUCGCUUCCAAGCUCUCUCUCUCUUUACC
rnacentral:lncRNA from 1 species